CUUCUUCUGCCGUAAUUCAUCUCUCUCUCUCUUUGAAAUUCACACUUUGAAAUUCCGACUAUGAGCGAGCAUGUUGCUGGUGGGUUCGAGAUUGGCGAUGAUUGGAUCUGGCCUUUCUAAGAAGGCGACAACUGAAAAGCAGUACAGCUGGUCUCCUGUUCCCCAUUGGCCGAUUAGCUCGAUUUCGUAAGAAGGACGAGUACGCCGAACGUGUUGGUGUCGUUGCUUGGAUUUAGUUAGCCGCCGAGUUAUGGAAUUGACAAGAAACACAGAGAUGGAUAAUAAGAAGACUAUGAUUGUAUCACUUCACUUUCAGCUUGCGGUGAGAAACGAUGGGGAGCUGUGUGAGUUGGUUGGUGAUGUGAAGAUUUCUAAUGGAGGUGUUGUUGGGUUGUUGUUCUUAUUCUCGUUCUCUCUUCGUUUCGUUUUCUUUCGUUUCUAAUUGUAAGUCUUCUUUGGUUCAUUAUACAUUUCUUUGUUCUGAUGUUUGUGAGAUCGUGUUAAACCCAAUCGUUUCCCAGUUCUAUUGUAGUUUGUAGAAACUCACUUUGAUUUUGUCGAUGAAAUCUAACCUAUUGUAUGAUAUCGUUGAGUUUCAUGAUCUUCUCUUCCGUUGGUUUUCAAUCAUUUGUCAUAGAUGUUCCUGCCUUGCUUCAAUUUCCACCUGUAUUGCUCAAAGGUGCCUCUUUUUUUUAUGUAUUGUUUUGUUUAGUUUUAUUUGCCUUGUAUUUGUAGGAGAAAUGGCUGAAACCAAGGUAGUGGUUCCAGAGUCUGUCUUGAAAAAGAUCAAGAGGCAAGAGGAAUGGGCUCUGGCCAAGAAAGAGGAAACUGUUGCUGCCAAGAAGAAGAGUGUUGAGACCCGUAAGCUUAUCUUCAAGAGAGCUGAGCAGUAUGCCAAAGAGUACGCUGAGAAGGUCAAUCUUUAACAUUCAUCACAAAAGCAAAAGACUUCCUAUAUGGGGAAAGCAAAGCAAGCUCCAUUUCCCUCGUUUCAAGCUCAGCCAUUAACCCUUGAUAUUUUUAAUUAUGUUUUUAGUUUGAUUUUGUAAUACAUUUUUUUGUUAUAUCAUGGUUUCAUAA